AUGAACGCUAGCUACAGGCUUAACACAUGCAAGUCGAGGGGCAGCAUGAACUUAGCUUGCUAAGUUUGAUGGCGACCGGCGCACGGGUGAGUAACACGUAUCCAACCUGCCGAUGACUCGGGGAUAGCCUUUCGAAAGAAAGAUUAAUACCCGAUGGCAUAGUUCUUCCGCAUGGUAGAACUAUUAAAGAAUUUCGGUCAUCGAUGGGGAUGCGUUCCAUUAGGUUGUUGGCGGGGUAACGGCCCACCAAGCCUUCGAUGGAUAGGGGUUCUGAGAGGAAGGUCCCCCACAUUGGAACUGAGACACGGUCCAAACUCCUACGGGAGGCAGCAGUGAGGAAUAUUGGUCAAUGGACGAGAGUCUGAACCAGCCAAGUAGCGUGAAGGAUGACUGCCCUAUGGGUUGUAAACUUCUUUUAUACGGGAAUAAAGUGAGGCACGUGUGCCUUUUUGUAUGUACCGUAUGAAUAAGGAUCGGCUAACUCCGUGCCAGCAGCCGCGGUAAUACGGAGGAUCCGAGCGUUAUCCGGAUUUAUUGGGUUUAAAGGGAGCGUAGGCGGACGCUUAAGUCAGUUGUGAAAGUUUGCGGCUCAACCGUAAAAUUGCAGUUGAUACUGGGUGUCUUGAGUACAGUAGAGGCAGGCGGAAUUCGUGGUGUAGCGGUGAAAUGCUUAGAUAUCACGAAGAACUCCGAUUGCGAAGGCAGCCUGCUAAGCUGCAACUGACAUUGAGGCUCGAAAGUGUGGGUAUCAAACAGGAUUAGAUACCCUGGUAGUCCACACAGUAAACGAUGAAUACUCGCUGUUUGCGAUAUACAGUAAGCGGCCAAGCGAAAGCGUUAAGUAUUCCACCUGGGGAGUACGCCGGCAACGGUGAAACUCAAAGGAAUUGACGGGGGCCCGCACAAGCAGUGGAGUAUGUGGUUUAAUUCGAAGCAACGCGAAGAACCUUACCAGGUCUUGACAUCCGAUGCAUAGCACAGAGAUGUGUGAAAUCCUUCGGGACAUCGAGACAGGUGGUGCAUGGUUGUCGUCAGCUCGUGCCGUGAGGUGUCGGCUUAAGUGCCAUAACGAGCGCAACCCUUAUCGAUAGUUACCAUCAGGUGAUGCUGGGGACUCUGUCGAGACUGCCGUCGUAAGAUGUGAGGAAGGUGGGGAUGACGUCAAAUCAGCACGGCCCUUACGUCCGGGGCUACACACGUGUUACAAUGGGGGGGUACAGAAGGCAGCUACACGGCGACGUGAUGCUAAUCCCUAAAGCCUCUCUCAGUUCGGAUUGGAGUCUGCAACCCGACUCCAUGAAGCUGGAUUCGCUAGUAAUCGCGCAUCAGCCACGGCGCGGUGAAUACGUUCCCGGGCCUUGUACACACCGCCCGUCAAGCCAUGAAAGCCGGGGGUACCUGAAGUGCGUAACCGCAAGGAGCGCCCUAGGGUAAAACUGGUGAUUGGGGCU
rnacentral:rRNA from 1 species